CCUGCCUCAAAGAGGGGGACAACAGUUGGAAACGACUGCUAAUACCGCAUAAGCCCACGGGUCGGCAUCGACCAGAGGGAAAAGGAGCAAUCCGCUUUGAGAUGGCCUCGCGUCCGAUUAGCUAGUUGGUGAGGUAACGGCCCACCAAGGCAACGAUCGGUAGCCGGACUGAGAGGUUGAACGGCCACAUUGGGACUGAGACACGGCCCAGACUCCUACGGGAGGCAGCAGUGGGGAAUAUUGCACAAUGGGGGAAACCCUGAUGCAGCGACGCCGCGUGGAGGAAGAAGGUCUUCGGAUUGUAAACUCCUGUUGUUGAGGAAGAUAAUGACGGUACUCAACAAGGAAGUGACGGCUAACUACGUGCCAGCAGCCGCGGUAAAACGUAGGUCACAAGCGUUGUCCGGAAUUACUGGGUGUAAAGGGAGCGCAGGCGGGAAGACAAGUUGGAAGUGAAAUCCAUGGGCUCAACCCAUGAACUGCUUUCAAAACUGUUUUUCUUGAGUAGUGCAGAGGUAGGCGGAAUUCCCGGUGUAGCGGUGGAAUGCGUAGAUAUCGGGAGGAACACCAGUGGCGAAGGCGGCCUACUGGGCACCAACUGACGCUGAGGCUCGAAAGUGUGGGUAGCAAACAGGAUUAGAUACCCUGGUAGUCCACACCGUGAACGAUGAUUACUAGGUGUUGGAGGAUUGACCCCUUCAGUGCCGCAG
rnacentral:rRNA from 1 species